rfam:Musa acuminata subsp. malaccensis Doubled-haploid Pahang (DH-Pahang) genomic chromosome, chr4
GCUCAAGUUGCGCACUUGCUGUAAAUAUGGACAGAGAACAAUUUGGUGGAAUUUAGGUGGGCUUUCUGUGAGACGUGGGGAGUCCAUAAAGGGCCACCAUACACAU